rnacentral:misc_RNA from 1 species
GAUAGACCUUAUACGAAACGCAUGUUAUAACAUUCACCAUCUGCGAGAUCAAAAUGGAGGACACUAAAUACUUCAAAUUUAGUACUAAAUCGCAGUAUAUAUAGUGGAUGUUUUAUUUAUAUAUUAGCAACAUAUGAUACAAACAGAUAUAUAUGGAAACAGUCUAAAGAAAAUGGAUCUAGAAAUAUAUAACAACACUCCAUAUUUGGACAUCAUGGCGAAUUAAUCGUGGAUCUAAAAACCAGAAUUUGGAUUUAAAAAAAUUGGCACAAUGUCGUGGAAUUAUAGAACCAAUUAUAGUAGUGGGUAUGUAGUGGAAUAUGUUCCCCUUAACGCUACCCCCUGUGCCAGCUGGUUGCUGUUCAUACCGGCUGAGAACCUUUGGCCGGCAGGCCUUCGGGCGUUCUUAUAUUUACUAGCGAUGAUAUACCUUUUCAUGGGAAUUGCUAUCUCGAGUGACCUAUUUAUGUGUAGUAUUGAGGCUAUAACUUCAAAGAAAAAGAAAGUUAUCCGUUUCGAUGAAGAAACCCAACAGAAAGUUGAACGGGAAGUUUUAGUCUGGAAUGAAACUGUCGCAAAUUUGACUCUCAUGGCGCUCGGAAGUAGUGCUCCGGAGAUUUUAAUCGCAGUUGGUGAAACACUUCAGAAUCUCAAUCAAAUAGGGAACCCAAAUGUGGGUGACGGAUUGGGGACGUUUACCAUCAUUGGGAGUGCUGCGUUCAACUUGUUGAUAAUCACAGGAAUAUGUAUAGUAAGCGUGCCAAGUCCGCAGGUGAAACCGAUAAAGGAAAUUGGGGUAUUUUGUAUCACAGCAGUCUGGUCAAUAUUUGCCUAUUUUUGGAUGUUAAUCGUGCUUCAGUGGGUGAGUCCACAGAUCAUCGAACCUUGGGAAGCAUUCGUCACAUUAGCGUUCUUCCCAAUUAUGGUCGUAAUGUCCUACGCACAAGAUAGCGGGUGGUGGUGUAAGAAGCGUAAAAGCGUCGGGACAGAUUCUCAAGAUGAGGUCCACAAUGUACGUAUAGUCAACCAAAAUAACAAAAAUAGUCUAAUCCAUGGGCCGUCAAAAGAGUUAUCACUCUUAGAGAAAGAGCACGAGCAAAGACACAGCCAUGCAAAUCUAAAGAAUGUAAUCGUGGACAGUAACAACAGGGAUCCAGAUGUCAGUUCCGGAGAUUCAGAAGCUAAACUUGUUAGAGUCCGACCAUCAGAAACGGCACCUCAAACGUUUGCAAGAGCAAGAUUUCGCCAUGCAGCUGUUAGAUCAAUGAUGGGAGGACGUAGAUCACAUCCUAAAUCAGCGCCAUCUGGCAAAUUAAAGAUGGUUGAUGUCGUAGAAACUGUCCGAACAGAUCACCAUCUUAACAUAUUAACUCCCUCCGAAGAUUUAUUUGGGAAGUUCACAUUUGCGGCACCAAGCUAUUCAGUUCUAGAAAGUGCAGGAAUCUUAGAGAUAGAUGUACUCUUCCAUAGACGUCCCCCAGCUUCCGACAAAAGACACAUCCAAAAUCACGGAAAGAGGCCUAAAAGUUAUAUACAGAAUGGUGUGAGCAAUGGAAAAACCACGGAGACAUCAUUUACGAAUCCAAUUUCAACCACAGCUGAAGAAGAUGAAAUGGUCAAAGGAACUGUUUCUAUCGAUUUUGAGACUCGGGAAGGUUCGGCAAAAAUAAAUAAAGACUUUAAAUAUACCCAAGGUUCAUUGGUCUUUUCCGAAACUGAAUAUAGAAAGUCGAUCACGAUUCCUAUCAUUAACGACAAUCAAUACGAGGCAGAUGCCGAUUUCUACGUCAUCUUAAAAAAUGCGCACGGAGGAUCAGGGAUCGGAGACCCCAGUGUGACGAGAGUCACAAUUAUUGAUGACGAUGAACCAGGGGAAUUCACGUUUGAUAGGUCCCACUAUGCUGCUGAUUUAAAGUCUGGAAUGAUGGCUGUCACUGUUGUGAGACAACACGGAUGUGACGGCACCGUCACAGUGGAGUACUCGACUGUUGAUGGCACGGCGCGUGGAGGUCCAGAAUUAACAGAGAAGCUAGACUAUGCAUCAGUACAAGGGGUCCUUACAUUUAAGCAUGGAGAAACGAGCAAACAAAUCCAGAUAGAUGUAAAUAAAGAGGCGAAGAGUUCAAAAAACUUCAUAGUGACCCUGAGGAAUCCCAGUCUAGGGGCCAAGAUAGGAGAACACAGUGCUGCAGUUGCUAACAUAUCUACAGAUGUCAUCGCAGACAGGAUAGCAGACAUCUUGGAUGAUGAAGAUGAAGAAGUCACAUGGGGUGGUCAAUUUAGAAAUGCCAUGAGUGUGGAAUGUGACAAGGAUGAUGAUGGCGUCGACAUUCCCCUCAAGUGGUACGACUACACACUCCACUUCCUAACCUUUUUCUGGAAGGUUAUUUUUGCCUUCAUACCCCCAAAGCAAUAUCUCGGGGCUUGGCCAACAUUUAUUUCCUCACUCGUAUUUACUGGUGUGCUGACUUUACUAGUUGAACAGCUUGGUCAUCUACUUGGCUGUACUAUAGGCAUUAAGACAGCUGUUACUGGUAUCACUAUAGUUGCAUUAGGAACAAGUCUCCCUGAUACCUUCGCCAGCAGAACAGCAGCUCUUCAUGAUCAAUACGCAGACGCUGCCAUAGGAAACAUUACAGGUUCAAAUAGUGUCAAUGUAUUCUUGGGACUUGGUCUUCCAUGGGUAAUAAGCGUAAUCUACGGAAUGGCGACGAACAAAACAUUUUAUGUGCCAACUGCAAACCUGUUCCAGUCAGUUUUAGUGUUCGCUGUAUGCGGCGUAUCCUGUAUAAUAAUGUUAUUUAUAAGGCGGAAGUUUAUUGGAGGAGAACUAGGUGGCGCUAAUAAAUUGAUAAAAUGGGGCUGCUGUCUUUUCCUGUUUCUAUUGUGGUUUAUCUACAUUCUCAUAUCGUCUUUGAACGCUUAUGGAUUAAUUGAAUUUAACCUAUAGAGUCAAAAAUGGAGAUCAUUAUUCUCCAUAUAAAAGUGUGAUUACUCGAGCUUUAAAAGUUGGGUUAGUUCUUGAUCUGAGGUCAAGGUCAAUUAUCUUGAUCCCAUAAUGCAGUGAAUAUUUACUACAUGUAGUCAUGGUGAUGCACAAAUCAAAAAUGCCAAAUCAAAAAUGAGGAACAGUGAAGUGUUUACUGUUAUUGCCAAGUACAUUAACCAGCAGAGGCCCAUAGGUAAAUAGUAAUCAGAUGAAACUCUUAAAGAUGUCAUCUAAAGUCUACAAAGGGUUGGCAGCGAAUGAUAGAGACAUAAUUUUAUAUAUUGGCAGUGUUCCAAAUUCCUCAUUUUAUGUUCCCUUCCAGAGGGAAGGGAAUGACAAAUGUCAAAACAUUGAGUGACAAAUGUCAACCAUUGAAUGACAAAUGUCAACCAUUGAAUAUCAACCAUUGAAUGACAAAUGUCAAUCUUGGAAUCGAUAUGCAACAGAGUUGCAAAUGUCAUGUAUGGAAAGUGCCAAUCGUUGACUUCAUAAGUAUGAGUCAAGGUGGAAAUGGUCAAUUGUUGACAAUGAAUGCAACAACAAGGAUAUAAUUUAUAAAUGAUAAUUGUUAGACAACUGAUUCUUUUAAUAAAUGAUGUUCCACUUUCUUCUGCCCACACUAUACAUUAGAAAUAUUGGAGGAAAAUGAAUCUUAAGAAACAAUGUGCCAAGAUAUUUAUGUCAUUACUUCCAUUAAUGUGACAAUCGUAUAUCUUAAAAUUAGCAGUAUGUAAAACGGUCUGAUCUAUUCCUGUAAUAUGGGGACAUAUACCACUUAAGAUGACAAAUGCCCUAUUAUGUUAGAAAUAUGACAUUAUUUGUGAUAUGGUGACAUUCCAUGCAUGGUGCAUUUAUGUUGUCAUAUUUCAGAAAGGUGACGCUGUUAGAACCUGAAAUUAUUUGUGAUAUGGACACAUUCUAUAUAAUGGUAUAACUAACUUAUUUUGUACAAACAUGACAAGGGUUAUUCGAAUAGUAACCAUAACAAUGAUUCAAAUGGAGGUGUGAUUCUCAUGAAUUCAGAAGAAAGAAGAUCAGUUUCAGUAGAAAAACGGUUCAAAUAAAAAAUGCAUUUUUGCCAAAAAAAUAACUUCAAACUUAAAUAUAUAUGUGUACAAGUAGAUUGAUUG